rnacentral:rRNA from 1 species
ACUCCUACGGGAGGCAGCAGUAAGGAAUAUUGCGCAAUGGGCGACAGCCUGACGCAGCGACGCCGCGUGGGGGAUGAAGGUCUUCGGAUUGUAAACCCCUUUCGGCAGGGAAGAUGGAACGGGUAACCGUUCGGACGGUACCUGCAGAAGCAGCCACGGCUAACUUCGUGCCAGCAGCCGCGGUAAUACGAAGGUGGCAAGCGUUGUUCGGAUUUACUGGGCGUACAGGGAGCGUAGGCGGUUGGGUAAGCCCUUCGUGAAAUCUCCGGGCCUAACCCGGAAAGUGCGGAGGGGACUACUNGGCUAGAGGAUGGGAGAGGAGCGCGGAAUUCCCG